rnacentral:lncRNA from 1 species
CUGUAUACUUUUUAUAUUAUUAUAAUGCAAUUAUUAGAAACAAUUUGAUUCUGUCAGUUCAUGUUUUUAAGGUUUGUUAGGCAGGACUGGAGCAGCUCUUAACCUAGGGCAAAUCAUUCCCUGCUCCCGGGGAAAGACAUUUUGUGUAGCCGUCCUAAGACCCAUGAAUGUGAGGCCCUGUGUGAAUAUGGGGCACCACUCAUCUUUUCAAGGACUCUCAGCUCCAUCUUCUUAACUCAGGGAAUUCACCAAGCUCAGCAUGGGUUCCCUGAUACUGCACUGCAACCUGGAAGCUUUCAAGACAGGAAUCAAAGGCAAUCACUGGCUCAUCUUGUCUGAUUCCCAUCCCUCACAGUACUUUGUUGCCUAAUGUCAAUGUCUUGAAAACCAUUGUUCAUGUAUUUUUGUUUAUUUCAAGUGAUAGGAAGCAAAUUCAGUGCCUGCUAUUCCAGAUAGUUUUAAACUGAUAAUUUGUCUGUAAGUUUCUCAGUGAUUUGUUUACCCACACAGGUAAAACUCCUUCUCCUCACAGGCCAGUCCACUUCAGAAUACUUCUGGAAACUAGUUCCUCAUAUCCAUGUAGCACAUUAUAGCUAACAUUGUAAUUUCAUGUAUCACUUAUAUUGUUUUUUUUAGGUGUGUGAGGGGGAAAUAUGACCUGUGUCAUACUGCUAAUAGGAAAUUUAUCUUCACAUGAAAAGUGGUGCCUAGCACAAAAUCCAUUGAAAAUUCUUAAGGUCAACCU